ACCCCACACGACGCGCGCCUCCGAGUGGCGUGGGGUGGGUAACUACUCCUUAUGGAGUAGGCUAAGCGCGUCU
rnacentral:ribozyme from 1 species